rnacentral:rRNA from 1 species
GAUGAACGCUGGCGGCGUGCCUAAUACAUGCAAGUCGAGCGAACGGACGAGAAGCUUGCUUCUCUGAUGUUAGCGGAGGACGGGUGAGUAACACGUGGAUAACCUACCUAUAAGACUGGGAUAACUUCGGGAAACCGUAGCUAAUACCGGAUAAUAUUUUGAACCGCAUGGUUCAAAAGUGAAAGACGGUCUUGCUGGCACUUAUAGAUGGAUCCGCGCUGCUUUAGCUAGUUGGUAAGGUAACGGCUUACCAAGGCAACGAGGCAUAGCCGACCUGAGAGGGUGAUCGGCCACACUGGAACUGAGCCACGGACCAUGCUCCUACGGGAGGCAGCAGUAGGGAAUCUUCCGCAAUGGGCGAAAGCCUGACGGAGCAACGCCGCGUGAGUUAUGAAGGUCUUCGGAUCGUAAAACUCUGUUAUUAGGGAAGAACAUAUGUGUACGUAACUGUGCACAUCUUGACGGUACCUAAUCAGAAAGCCACGGCUAACUACGUG